rnacentral:tRNA from 1 species
GAUGCCGGGGCGCAGCGGUAGCGCAGUGCCCUGGCCGUUGUCACGCACCAACAGGCGUAGGCCCUGGCCACGGCGUUGCAGGCGAAUGCGUACUUCGCUGGCAUCG